GAUGAACGCUAGCGGGAGGCCUAACACAUGCAAGCCGAGCGGUAUUAUUUCUUCGGAAAUGAGAGAGCGGCGUACGGGUGCGGAACACGUGUGCAACCUGCCUUUAUCUGGGGGAUAGCCUUUCGAAAGGAAGAUUAAUACUCCACAAUAUAUUGAACGGCAUCGUUUAAUAUUGAAAGCUCCGGCGGAUAGAGAUGGGCACGCGCAAGAUUAGCUAGUUGGUGAGGUAACGGCUCACCAAGGCGAUGAUCUUUAGGGGGCCUGAGAGGGUGAUCCCCCACACUGGUACUGAGACACGGACCAGACUCCUACGGGAGGCAGCAGUGAGGAAUAUUGGUCAAUGGGUGCAAGCCUGAACCAGCCAUCCCGCGUGAAGGACGACUGCCCUAUGGGUUGUAAACUUCUUUUGUAUAGGGAUAAACCUACCCUCGUGAGGGUAGCUGAAGGUACUAUACGAAUAAGCACCGGCUAACUCCGUGCCAGCCGCCGCCGUAACAC
rnacentral:rRNA from 1 species